UGUGAAAUUUACUCCGCGGUAC
rnacentral:siRNA from 1 species